ACCUUCGGGGUGUAGUGGUCAGCCCACUCGACCCGUAACCAAGAGGUCCUGGUUCGAUUCCCGGCGAAGGCG
rnacentral:tRNA from 1 species